GAACGAACGCUGGCGGCAUGCCUAACACAUGCAAGUCGAACGAGACCUUCGGGUCUAGUGGCGCACGGGUGCGUAACGCGUGGGAAUCUGCCCUUGGGUUCGGAAUAACAGUGAGAAAUUACUGCUAAUACCGGAUGAUGUCGAAAGACCAAAGAUUUAUCGCCCAGGGAUGAGCCCGCGUAGGAUUAGCUAGUUGGUGAGGUAAAGGCUCACCAAGGCGACGAUCCUUAGCUGGUCUGAGAGGAUGAUCAGCCACACUGGGACUGAGACACGGCCCAGACUCCUACGGGAGGCAGCAGUGGGGAAUAUUGGACAAUGGGCGAAAGCCUGAUCCAGCAAUGCCGCGUGAGUGAUGAAGGCCCUAGGGUUGUAAAGCUCUUUUACCCGGGAUGAUA
rnacentral:rRNA from 1 species